AUCAUCUGGAUUUUCAUGGAUUAUAUAAGUAUGAUUCUUACCUUGAGAUUACGCACUUGGUGAGGGCAUCCUGCAGGAAUGAAAACUGCCUCUCCAAGUCUUUGCUCGAAUGUCCAAGGUUCAAUCCCUAAAAUGGUAAGCAUCCACAUUUUGAGUUUAUUAAACAAAAUGUGAUCCUUGUUCUUAAGGAAAGAUAACGAACAAGGUAAAUUACUAACCGAAUUCUUCCUUCAGUUUUCUCUUGUGCUCCAUAGUUAGGUAGAAGCUCUGGUCAUGGAUUGGAUGAAAAACCUGAUCAACCGGACAACAGAAAGUGUGCCUAAAUUCCUUUGCAUGCUUUAAAAGAUACUCAUUCAACUUGGGUACGUCUUCCCUUCUGAAAAUGUCCCACAAGGCACCUCCAGUUGUCUCUGAAUCAUCAGAGGUUUUCUCCUCCCCUCUAAUAUCACUAGACAUCUUCAUAGGAUAUUCAUCAGCCUCACAUUUGAGGCGCUCUCUUUCAUCUUGAGUUCUAUGCCUCUGUUUCACUAUUUCAAUUGCAGACUGCUGCUCAUCAGUUAUAGCCAUCUCUGCUGUGUGUGUCAAAAUAUUUAUCUGACCAAUUCAAAAUUUUAAAAUAUUAGCUUGUCAUGAAAUGAGCCUGAAAAAGUAAUGGUUGCAAUCUUAGCAGGUAAUGCAUCAUGGACAGAAUACUGAACUGGGAAAAGCAAUAAACUGCUAUCAAGGUGAGAAUAAACAUAAAACUAGAUUGUGGCAUGUGGUUUAAUUUACCUGGAAUGUGACAAUUGUCAAAAUAUAUUGUAUAGGACUGGCCAUGAGGUUUAUGAGUCUCACUAGACAACAUAAGGCAGAAGAGAUUGGAUGAAUGUGGUGGUUCUAUAUAUUUGGAAUAAAAUGUUAGUUUUUCACCCAUUUUGGAAUUUUCAUACAAUUGAGAUACCUUCUUACCAGGUCCUUGUCGAUUUGGUCAUAGUUUUUGGAUGUGAGCUAAGGUAAUAUCCUCCAAGUUGUGAUUUCAAGUAUUAACCAGGGCUAUUCACAAGUCAACACAUAUAUUAAGGAGGUGGCAUUGACAUGAGAAUAAAGUGAAGAAAUCAAAUGAAUGAACUACAAUAGUCCCGUCAAAAUCAUACCGCAUCUGACAUAUCACAGUGAAGCUUUGUCACUGAAUCCCCUCU
rnacentral:lncRNA from 1 species